rnacentral:rRNA from 1 species
CAGCCGCCGCGGGAAUACGAAGGGUGCAAGCGUUAAUCGGAAUUACUGGGCGUAAAGCGUGCGUAGGCGGUGAGUUAAGUCUGCUGUGAAAUCCCCGGGCUCAACCUGGGAAUGGCAGUGGAUACUGGCUCGCUAGAGUGUGUCAGAGGAUGGUGGAAUUCCCGGUGUAGCGGUGAAAUGCGUAGAGAUCGGGAGGAACAUCAGUGGCGAAGGCGGCCAUCUGGGACAACACUGACGCUGAGGCACGAAAGCGUGGGGAGCAAACAGGGUUAGAUACCCCCGUAGUCCCUGUCUCUUAUAC